AACGAACGCUGGCGGCAUGCCUAACACAUGCAAGUCGAACGAGACCUUCGAGUCUAGUGGCGCACGGGUGCGUAACGCGUGGGAACCUGCCCUUAGGUUCGGAAUAACUCCCCGAAAGGGGUGCUAAUACCGGAUAAUGUCUUCGGACCAAAGAUUUAUCGCCUUUGGAUGGGCCCGCGUUGGAUUAGCUAGUUGGUAGGGUAAAAGCCUACCAAGGCGACGAUCCAUAGCUGGUCUGAGAGGAUGAUCAGCCACACUGGGACUGAGACACGGCCCAGACUCCUACGGGAGGCAGCAGUGGGGAAUAUUGGACAAUGGGCGAAAGCCUGAUCCAGCAAUGCCGCGUGAGUGAUGAAGGCCUUAGGGUUGUAAAGCUCUUUUACCCGGGAUGAUAAUGACAGUACCGGGAGAAUAGGCUCCGGCUAACUCCGUG
rnacentral:rRNA from 1 species